CAGACUAUUUCACAUCAGUGACCAUGAUUUAGUUGCAACAUUAACCAACCAAAUGGAUACCAGCUUAUUAAACAAAUUCCUUCAAAUUCAAUUGCAACCCCCCCCAUUUUCUUGAAAAAAAAUUUAAUAGUCCCUCCCCUUCUAAUCAUUUAUUUAUAAAUAUGGCCCCCCUUAUUUUUUCCCUUCCCCACUUCCAUAAAUAAUGACCGGUUCCUAAGCAUCAAAUAUAUAAUGUUGCUUAACCGGUCAGUAUAAACUGCAGACUGCAAACUGCAGAAUGAAGACUCGGUACAAUGUGCAGAAUGAGUACAAAUUGCAGACCGAAUACGCAGACUAGGUAUACAACACAGACUAUGUAGUUUAUACAACAUUCGUCAGAAAAUGCAAAAUAACACACUUACCGGAUUUAAA